AAGGAUGCUUGCAUCUUUUGAUGGCGACCGGCGCACGGGUGAGUAACGCGUAUCCAACCUGCCUUACACUCUUGGACAGCCUUCUGAAAGGGAGAUUAAUACAAGAUGGCAUCAUGAGUCCGCAUGUUCACAUGAUUAAAGGUAUUCCGGUAGACGAUGGGGAUGCGUUCCAUUAGAUAGUAGGCGGGGUAACGGCCCACCAAGGCGACGAUCAGUAGGGGUUCUGAGAGGAAGGUCCCCACAUUGGAACUGAGACACGGUCCAAACUCC
rnacentral:rRNA from 1 species